rnacentral:rRNA from 1 species
CACGUAGGGGGCAAGCGUUGUUCGGAUUUAUUGGGCGUAAAGAGCUCGUAGGCGGCUUAGUAAGUCGGGUGUGAAACCUCCAGGCUCAACCUGGAGACGCCACCCGAUACUGCUGUGGCUAGAGUCCGGUAGGGGAGCGUGGAAUUCCUGGUGUAGCGGUGAAAUGCGCAGAUAUCAGGAGGAACACCAGCGGCGAAGGCGGCGCUCUGGGCCGGUACUGACGCUGAGGAGCGAAAGCGUGGGGAGCAAACAGG